rnacentral:ncRNA from 1 species
CCAGGUGGCUAGUUCCCUCUGAAAUUCCCCUCAGGAUAGUUGGAAUAUGUAAUGAAGCUGUUAUAUUCGGUAAAGCGAAUGAUUAGAGGAGUUGUGGGAUGAAAACGUUUUCAACUAAUCUCAAACUGUCAGUGAGUGCAACUAAUCUCAAACUGUCAGUGAGUGCAACUAAUCUCAAACUGUCAGUGAGUGUGACGCCUUGCUUGCUUGAAUGAAGCGUAGACA